AUUGAACGCUGGCGGCAUGCCUUACACAUGCAAGUCGAACGGCAGCACGGGAGCAAUCCUGGUGGCGAGUGGCGAACGGGUGAGUAAAGUAUCGGAACGUGCACAGUCGUGGGGGAUAACGUAGCGAAAGUUACGCUAAUACCGCAUACGAUCUAUGGAAGAAAGCGGGGGAUCGCAAGACCUCGCGCGAUUGGAGCGGCCGAUAUCAGAUUAGGUAGUUGGUGGGGUAAAGGCUCACCAAGCCGACGAUCUGUAGCUGGUCUGAGAGGACGACCAGCCCCACUGGGACUGAGACCCGGCCCAGACUCCUACGGGAGGCAGCAGUGGGGAAUGUUGGACAAUGGGCGCAAGCCUGAUCCAGCCAUGCCGCGUGCAGGAUGAAGGCCUUCGGGUUGUAAACUGCUUUUGUACGGAACGAAAAGGUUUGACUUAAUACGUUGGACUCAUGACGGUACCGUAAGAAUAAGCACCGGCUAACUACGUGCCAGCCGCCGCGGUAA
rnacentral:rRNA from 1 species